GACAGAGGGUGCAAACGUUGUUCGGAAUUACUGGGCGUAAAGCGCACGUAGGCGGACUGUUAAGUCGGGGGUGAAAUCCUGGGGCUCAACCUCAGAAUUGCCUCCGAUACUGGCAGUCUCGAGUGCGGGAGAGGUGAGUGGAAUUCCCAGUGUAGAGGUGAAAUUCGUAGAUAUUGGGAAGAACACCAGUGGCGAAGGCGGCUCACUGGCCCGUAACUGACGCUGAGGUGCGAAAGCGUGGGGAGCAAACAGG
rnacentral:rRNA from 1 species